UAUAUAUAUAUUUAAAAAAUAAGCUGUUAGAUAUAUCUUCUGUUUAAUAACUGUGUAGAGGCAACAUCGAUUCUUAUUUAUUUUGCGGAGGAGGGGGAAAAAAGGCACAGCAACCCCGUAAGUGUUCAUCUUGUGACUUUGAGAAAGAAGAAUCGCCGCCUUUCUUCCCCCUCCUCAGGAGUUACGUGACCAAGUGUAACUUAUUCUGGCCCAAGUUCAAAGGUUAAACAAACAGACAAAGAAACAAACGUGGUCUUACGCCUGGAAGACAAAACACAGUGAGAAGUUCUUCUUGACUGAGAUUUUAAGAAUGUAGGCUUAGCAUUAGUGUUCAGCUCUUUUAUGACCUUCGAUUGCUGCUCGUUGGGUUCCUAUGGGUGUAUGUUGUAUCGCAAGAUUAUUCUUAUUUUUUUUAAAUGAUAAUGUUGUAUGAGUUCUUUUUGGUUGUUGUUGUCGUCGUUGGUUUUUUUAAUCAUUUUUCCCCUUCUCGGACCAGUUUUACUUGUACAUAGGUUUGAAGAUUAAAGCGAAUUUUUAAAGACACAACUGGGGCAAAGACCUUUGACUUUGGCCCCGCUUCCCCAUUCCCCCAAAACGGGAGGGAUUUAUUUUACGUUUCCGUUCUAUUUAUUUAUUUAUUUUCCCUACUCCCAACCUUUUCUCUCGUAUUGCUGUGUGCAUGUCAGACACCGGGGGGUGAUGGCUGGGGAGGGGGGGAGGCAAGGGUGCAGGAGAGGGGGGCAGUUUUAAUUGCAUGACAUUGCUGUAAAUUAGUCUCUUUUGCUUUCGUUGUCUUUCCUGCCUCCGCCCUCUCUCUACUUCUCCUCCGAGCUCCCCUCCCAUCACCCCCGUCCUUCUUUUCCCUCUUUUCUCUUCCCUUGUGUAUAGAUUUUGAUGCUUCUGUUACAUUGUACCUCUACGAAAGGCUGGGAUUUCAAUACAAAAUAAUAAUAAUAAUUUAAAAAAUACCUAUAUCAGCAAAACCCACGUGGUACAAGCAGGAAGGGGAUUACUUACACAAGAUAUAAGAAUAAACGAAAGCAAUACCUCUUGUUAUCCUUCCUAUUUUGUACUUUGAAGACACACACGCGCGCACACACACAUAUACAGACACAAACUGACGUUAUUUAAUGGUUUAAAAUGGACAACAAAAAUCUGAUGUAUCCCUUGUUAAAUAACUGUGAGCAACUUUAGUUCAAAAACCAAUAAAUUCAUUCAGUAAAGAUACGAGCUGUGGCGUGUCCUCUUUGUGUCCGUCGGACGAGUCCGCCCGGCCCGGUAAGUAGCGCGGCACCGCGUUCCGCAGCGGGGCAGAACCGCCCGCCCCGCGCUGCCUGUAGGGGGCGCUGCUCCCAGCCGCCCCGCGCUGCCUGUAGGGGGCGCUGCUCCCAACCGCCUCCAGUUGUCGAGGCGCAGCUCCGCGCGCGCUCGGCGGGAAGGGGGCGGCACGCGACGCGGCUGAGGUGGGGAGGCUCGGCGCUUCUGGAAGGUUCCGCGGUGCUGCCGCAGCACGGAGAAGACAAGCCAUCAGGUUCCAGGGCGGAUUUAUUGAUUUGCUGAGCGAGAACCACGUGCUGACAUCACUUUGAGAAGCCCAACUGUUCGUGUCAUAGCCUGAGUGGUUCUGCUGCUGUCUGUGAAGAGAACGGAGACCCCCAUUAACACAAUGAGGGGGCUUUGCCUGCUGCUUGGUGUCUUGUUAACGUCAUUUCAUCAGCUCCAUCUGACAUUACUGUAGGGAGUUGUUAUGGGAAGGCUCAGACCAUUGAAUGAAGAGAGAAUGGGACUUCUCAUCUGGAUGUGGUGGCAGUAGCAGAAGGACAUGGAAAGACGUCCUCAUCUGUCACAAGUUUCUGCACUGAGCUCAUGACGAAGUCGACGUACUGUGGAGCAGUGCAUUUGAUCUUCUUCCCCCGCUCGUCAUACCAGUAGUACUGUCUGUGAAGAGAACCCACAGCGUCACGACGUUACACCCUGGAUCCUCAGCUGAACUCCUAAGAGAACUGUGAAGAGAACUUGGACGUAUCUUGAAGAAAGGGAGGUGUCCCUGGCAUUCCAUGACUGCCUGGAAAUGCAAGAGGAGGAAAGAACUGGUCUAUCAACACGUGCUAGAGAGAAAACCAUACCCAAACAACAGGCUUAUUCGUAAUGAAGUGGAUCUCAUAUUCCAUUAUGUUGGACUGUGCUAAUCAAGAGCAGGAGUUUAUGGCUGUACACACAGUAAUUUGCCUCUCUGAUCUGACUUUAUAAAACCAGCUUCAAACAGUCAAAGAUCCCGUCCUCCUAGUCCUUCACAACAACACCCUUCACUGAGAAGAGGUAGAAGGAUGCCCAGCUGCUGUGUUCUUACUGAAGAGAUCUGCUCGCCCCGUGCCACCUAAUUCCAGUAUCUUUCCCCAAGCUCCUCCCAAGGCUUUGUGGAAACCCUGUAGUAAUAAAUACUG